rnacentral:rRNA from 1 species
AUAGCCCUACGGGACGCAGCAGUGAGGAAUAUUGGUCAAUGGCCGGAAGGCUGAACAAGCCAAGUCGCGUGAGGGACGACUGCCCUAUGGGAUGUAAACCUCUUUUAUAAGGGAAGAAUAAAUGCUACGUGUAGCAUGAUGCCUGUACCUUAUGAAUAAGCAUCGGCUAACUCCGUGCCAGCAGCCGCGGUAAUACGGAGGAUGCGAGCGUUAUCCGGAUUUAUUGGGUUUAAAGGGUGCGUAGGCGGUAUUUUAAGUUUGUGGUUAAACGUCGGUGCUUCACCUUGAU